CAACUUUUAACAACGGAUCUCUUGGCUCUCGCAUCGAUGAAGAACGCAGCGAAAUGCGAUAAGUAAUGUGAAUUGCAGAAUUCAGUGAAUCAUCGAAUCUUUGAACGCACCUUGCGCUCUCUGGUAUUCCGGGGAGCACACCUGCUCGAGUGUCAUU
rnacentral:rRNA from 1 species